rnacentral:tRNA from 1 species
ACCUGGCUAGUUCAAUCAGUGGAGCAUGUGACUCUUGAUCUUGAGAUUGUGAGUUUGAGCCCCACGUUGGGUA